CGGACGGGUGAGUAACGCGUGAGAAUCUGCCUUAGGGUCGGGGACAACCACCGGAAACAGUGGCUAAUACCGGAUGUGCCGAGAGGUGAAAGAUUUAUUGCCAUAAGAGGAGCUCGCGUCUGAUUAGCUAGUUGGUAGGGUAAAAGCCUACCAAGGCAACGAUCAGUAGCUGGUCUGAGAGGAUGAGCAGCCACACUGGGACUGAGACACGGCCCAGACUCCUACAGGAGGCAGCAGUGGGGAAUUUUCCGCAAUGGGCGAAAGCCUGACGGAGCAAUACCGCGUGAGGGGGGAAGGCUUUUGGGUUGUAAACCUCUUUUAUCAGGGAAGAAGAAAGUGACGGUACCUGAGGAAAAAGCAUCGGCUAACUCCGUGCCAGCAGCCGCGGUAAUACGGAGGAUGCAAGCGUUAUCCGGAAUUAUUGGGCGUAAAGCGUCCGUAGGUGGUACCUCAAGUCGGCUGUUAAAGACCAGGGCUUAACUCUGGGCAGGCAGUGGAAACUGAGGAACUAGAGGGCAGUAGGGGUAGAGGGAAUUCCCGGUGUAGCGGUGAAAUGCGUAGAUUUCGGGAAGAACAUCGGUGGCGAAGGCGCUCUACUGGACUGAACCUGACACUGAGGGACGAAAGCUAGGGGAGCGAAUGGGAUUAGAUACCCCAGUAGUC
rnacentral:rRNA from 1 species